rnacentral:tRNA from 1 species
AGUGUCAAGGGAUGGGAAUCGAACCCACGACCUUCCGCUUACCGGGCAGAUGCUAUGACCACUAGGCCACACGACC